UUGGGUCUUCUCAGCUUCGCCUCUCUUCCAUGGAAGCCACAAGCAAGGGACUGAGUAUGAGUGUACGACACAGGUCUGUUUCACAUUGAGUAUUGCCAAUGAAUCUAUCAAGCUUGGUUAUACUGAGGAGUUGAUCUGAAGUCCGAGAAGAGUAUCCCUUUGCGCCUCGUCUUUGUAUUAACAGUCUUGCUACGUUCAGCAAAAUACAACUGGUUGAUUCCGAUUCAUUCAACUUUCCAUUGUAAGCAUCUUAGAUGUAAUCUUUUGUUUUUAUCUGUCUUUAGUGGGUUCUAUUUGCAUCACAAAACUUAAUCUUGGUGAGGCAUGAGUCAUAAAGGUAUAAAACAAAAGUAAAAUCAUUUGAAGUUUACCAAUAAUAAUAGUCACACACUACUUUGUCAGUCUCUCUUUUAAUCUUCAGAAGCGGAGCAGUAUGGAGAAGACAAUGGCAAUUGAUGACCAUAUAGGUUGUCCAAUGAGUAUCUGAUUGCUGAUGCACGCACGAGCGAAGACUCAAGUGACAUCUCAGUUUUUGCUUCUCGUGGUUCCUUUCUUACAUCAAUAUGUUACCAACUAUUUUUUGUUUCUCUGUAGCCUAGAACCACAGCUUCUCGUAUGGUGAGCCAAUGAAUGUAGAAUCUACAAGACAAGCUUUGUGUGAUCUGGCGUUAUGGUUUGGUGAAGGACAUGAAGAGUCAAUGCCAGUGAGCCACGAGGAUGGAAUGUCUGUCGAGACGGUUUUUGGGAGAAAAAAGCUCCUUUCAGUAAGGCCUUUCCAAUCACAAAAUUUGUCUUUUUACUGAAACUAAUACUCAGUAUCACUGGUACCGAAGUCUAUUUACGAUUUCGACAUCUAAAGGAAAUGGUAUAGUCUUUUCUUGACCCAAAGACCACAGCUAAGAUUCAGGUUCUUGGCAACCAAUACCAAAGCAAACUGCUAGAAAUCAUUCACGCCAAGUGCUAACUUGAUAACUCUUUACAUGUGACUUUGGAACUGUUGUUUUAUCUUCAGAUAAGCAUCUAAAGACUCUCUCUUCUCAUUGUUUGUUUAGUGAACUGCCUUUGUGGGUGGUACUUGUACCUGCGCAGAUAAAGACGAAUCUAUGCAUUCAGACAAAGGUUCAUGGAACGACCCCGAGAUCUUAAUACAUGGAAGUCGACAACGUUGCAAGUAA